rnacentral:lncRNA from 1 species
GGAAGCAGAGCCCCCUUGGGGCAUCAGACUAAGAGGCCUCCGUGCCAGAAGCUGAUAACGGAAGAGUGCUGUCCUGGGAGGUCACCAGGGAGCCCUGAGGUGACCUGGUGUAGCCAUGGUCCCUUUCCGACCCGUGGCGGGCAGGGAGCGAGUGGUUGCCGCUAGGGCUGCACGGAGCAGCUCCCAGACGUAGUCGCGGCUGGGGACUACAGUUUGGAGAGGGUCCUGGGCACUCUCACUCACCCAGCGUCUUUGACAACGCGGGAGGCCACUCUACCUCGGGACUGUCCCCAAUACCCUCCGCGACAACCCCAAUCGGCCACUUACUUAACCCAGGGCCCGGACGCGAGCAGAGCAGCUACCUGCAGCUGGCCGUAACCCGGCCGACUGGACUUUAGCUGGCGCCUCCGUCCCCGCUGUCCCCGUCGUCUCCGUCGUCCCCGUCGUCUCCGUCGUCCCCGUCGCCUCGAGGAUCCCGGCUGGGCUGCAGACAGUGCCUGGCGUUGCUUCUGCGCGCCCGGCUAAGCUGGACUCUGCGCUCCUCGCUCGCUCCCAGCCGGGCUUAAGCGCUGCCGGGACGCGGAGGCGGAGCCGCCGCCCCCACCUGCUCCUGGCGGCCGCCCUGGAGCCUCGCCGCCCAGCGCACGGGGACGCGGUCCAGAGGGCGGGGUCGCUCUGGCACCCAGGAGGCGGUCCUGGCUGCGCGGCGGCGCAGCUCCCAGGUACAGAGUCCCGAGUGUGAGCCACGGGGACAAUGGGGCCAAGGGCUGGAGUUCCCCUGCACGCCACCUCGUCUAUAUAUUACAAACAUUUCUGAGCCCUCGCUAAGCCCCAGACAGCGCGUAUAUGCAAGGGGACAAAAGGAGAAUGGGACAGCCGGUUGUCCCGAUGAGCACAAGCAGUGCUGGUACAUGUUGACCAGAGACAGAGGAAGGUUGUAGGAAGAGAGGUGCUGACGGAAACACCGAACCCCGCCAGUGUUCCAGAGUGAAGCAAGAAGUCACUGUGUCAUGGGAACGCCUGACAGAAAUGGAAAUAACUCAGAUCGCACUUCACCAGGUGAAGGUAUUCUCCCUUGGCUGCUCAAGUAGAGUAGGCAGGAGGCGGCCCUUAGUUAAGAAGGCAGACAGAAUGGCUGAAAAGGUUGACUGAAGAAUGAAGUAUCAUGUGAUUCUGAAGAGGCCCUGCACGCGACUGGGGGUGUCCAGGAUGUGACCUCCAAUUCGUCUCCACACAGCAGAGAUCUGCAGGAUGAUGUCGAUGAGGAUGGGAAAGAAGAGCUGGGUGUUCCUUUGGGACAUCAGAGAAGUGCCCACUCUCGUGAAGAGGAGAGGAACUGGGUGGGCAAAGUCCUCCAUGAUGAUAAUGAUGGUGAGGGCUAGAACUGAUCGGGUAGGUCUUACUUUCCCGUCAAGCUGUGGUUCCUCAUCACCAGGUUCUGAGCAUCUUCCGAACAUGAGCACCAAAGACUUCUGCUGUUCUUGGAUGUUCUUUGUCCCUACUGUUUCCUGGAAUGGAUGCAUGGUUCUCAGUGUAAUGAGGUUUAAAAGGCAUCGGGCUUUUUAAAAGGUGGGGCUUGGUGGAAAGAGAUUGGAGCAUGACCACCCAGGUGAAGGGAUCGGAGUUAGCUUCUCAGAGGGUUUAGAAUGAAUUUACUUGCACAAAGCUGUCUGUUAUUAAAGAGCAAGAGACACCCUGCUCUCGGUCCUGAUGGCUCAGAUGGUGCCAAGCUGCACCCGUGAGACAGAGCCCAGACUCUAUUCCAUAUGCACAUUCAAGGACUUCUUCCUCCAGAUGGCUGUGCACGGAGACACCUACAUAUGUUCUACUGGCUACCUGGACACCUUGAACCUGGAGACACUGAAGACCUUUCCUGCCUGGUUCUCUGAUGAAACACACAAAGACAUAACUCAGUCAGUGCAGUCAGGAGUCCCCCUGGCUGUUUCACAACUCCUGAACAUUUAUGCUUCCACGGAUGUCCUGUUUCCUUAUGAAGCAUCCCCACUUCUGCUGUUUGGAUCGGGUUCUUCCUCUCCUUCCUCCAUCUUCUCUUUUUAAUAAUUACCAAAACACACCAGUCUUUAAUUUCUGGAUUAAAGAUAUGAGCUCAGGGGUCUGAACCACAGAUGUUUUGGGAUUCCCAACUUUUAAGUUUUAGAUUGUGUUGAAAGAGUUCCGAGUAACCCCAGCUUCAACAAUGGAAUAGAGAACCUGUGAGAGGUCAAGCAUUACUGAAGAUUUCUGCAAGGCUAUGCAGUUUUUCUGAGAGAGAGACGGGGCAGCAACUGAGGUGCUAACUUCAUAUAAAGUCUCAGAACAAAGUCUUUAGAAACUGCCCAGAAGCCGAUGCCAGACCCGGGUGUGUCCCUGUACGUACAGAACUGAGGCCCACGGCGUUUGAAGUGAGCGCCAGAGCAGGACAGCAACAGAAGAGCAAACAUGAAGGGACAGCCAGGGGGCCUGAAAUAUGACUCACUGCUCAGCCACCAGAUUUCCCUGACUUGGGAUUAAAUCAGUGUGUUCUUCCUGAUGCAUAAUUCAGGAGCACUCGAAAACGAUGUAAUUACAAACCUCAGCUGGCAGAUUGUGAAUUGCGCUCACUGUCAAAACUGCCUGAAGCACGGAGUCCUUUCAGAAUAGUGGGUUAUUGAACCUAGGAUUUGUGCAUCCUGGGCAAAUGCUCUCCCACAGAGAUAAAUCAGCAGCCCACUCAGGCUCUUUCUGCUUGGCCUUGAAAGUUGGAUGCUCUUACCAAGAUACAGAAUUCAUAUGGACCAAGACUACAUUCAGUUUAGAGAUUGAGGGGCAGGACACAGGUAUGCUUGGCAGCUGGAAUGGCCAAAAAAUGUUCCAAUACUACUUUAUUAAUGCUGAAGAUUUGGAAGGGCAGAACUGCUGAAGAGAGCAUGUGAAGAUAUACAUCUGGCAACUAUGAAAGAUUUUCUGUUGGAUGGAUAAGCCUAUAAAGAGCUGCUUUUUUUUUGGGCCUCCGCAUCGGUUGCUGCUUCCGGAAUUACAUGGGGAAAUCUUCAGAACUGCUAAUUCUUCAUACUUGGUGUUAUCCCACUGGAACGAAUGUGGAGCCAGGUGGAAGAAGCCAUGCUAGGCUGCCAGAUGGUUUGGGUGAUAUAUGCCAUAGAGCAACUUUUAUGAAGGAAAAACAUUUGAUUAAAAGAUACCAACCUUAUCUAUUCAUAAUUUAAUAAUUGGUUUAUAAAAUGAAAGAAAGGAACAAGAUUCAACAAUGAUCCUUCAAGGUUCAUGAUUCAUCCAUAUGGAAAUGCGGCAAAGAAUUUCAACUUGCCAUUGGCAUCAGUCUCAAGGGCCUGGCUGAGGAGAGGGAAAGUGCUAAUUCUGUGACACCGUCCAGCUGCAUCCAGUGUCCUCAAGUCAUUUUGUGUAGCGGUGCACACUGCACGUAAUAGGAUGUACACGGGAGAUAUGGAGAGGCCAUGACUAAUUCCAUAACAUCCUUUGGGAAGCCUCAAAAAGCCCACAGAAAGGAAAUUGGCAGAUGCUUCAGACCAGCCUAGAAACACUAUGAACAUACACUAUCUCACAGCAGAAAAGCCAGUGCUGAGGAGCAGGAGCUGUGAAAAGCAGGGGCACGAGGAGGUGUGAACUCUCAUGGAAGAACUCAUCGGGACAGAGCAAAACAGACAUACAUACGAGGCACGGCAAAAGACCCAAGGCAAGCACAGAGACCUCAGGCGGAUUUUCAGAAGGACUGAGAUUCUAGCUAUGCACAGCAGGCCUGAGCUCAUCUCUGCGGUCAGGAGCGUGCAAAAAUCGAGAGUAAGAAUAGCAGGAAGACAUUCAUUAACGGUGUUCUUUGGCCUUGGACUAGAAGAUCAUAUAUAGCAACUGUUGGUGUCUAAGCUGCACCGAGUGAUCUGAUUGAUGCCUCCCGCCCUGCAGUCCAAGACCCUGGAAUCUUCCUGCCAAUCUCCACAGGUGCCUGUCUCCAUCUGAUUGGUGGAGAUGGGCAUCUCGUGGAGACCAGCUCUUCCUCCUGGCUGGCUACAAGAGUUGCUCUGUUUGCAGGAAUGACGGCGGACUGGUCUUUGAUUUGAAGAGUUCCUGACUUGUAUUCAGUCUGCCUUUCCUUCUCUCACAGUCACUGUGAUCAGCACAGCUGCUCGACACCCCCUGCCUUCCCUUCCCUGUGAUCAGAGAAUGCCGGGCUUCUCCACGCUGAUGCACAUACUGCUGGCAUGGCGAGUCUUCGCUGCUCUCAAGCUGAAGCUCAUCUCCUCUCCCUCCACAGAUCCUAGAAAAUCUUUUCCACCAUAUUCAGCUUCUCCAUGUGGUAGCUCGUGGUCUCCAUUAGAGUCUCACUGAACACACCGACAUUUGAUUCUAACUCAAGGGCCACCUUUACAAAGCAAACGUUCCCAGACUUCCCACUGGAGGAGUGCUCUGCCUUUGGGGUUCCAGUCUUUAUUGCAUUUAUCACUGCCUUGUAUUAGAGAUCAGUGGCCGCUCUGACCCCCUAUUAGACCAGGAACUCAGGAAAUGCCCCUGUGCCCCGUCACCUUUGGUUCUUCCUGCAAGGCUCUAAUGGGAUUCCUUCCUCUAGCAGCCAAUGAACAAAUACAGCCCUAGUACACGGAGAAAGCCAGAUGUCUAGAAAAAGGAGAACAAGCGUACCUCACAUAAUCUCACAUUCAUUUUAAGAUCAUCACUGCCCCUACACCCAGCUUCUGAGGACUAGGACCACCCAAGGCUGCUCUCUUCUAAUGGCUCCUUUCCUUGAUUCAUUCAGUCUUAAAGUUAAGUUGUCCCUGAAGGAGCUGAAUGGAGGUUUGGUAUACCUUACAAGUGUUUCCAGGCUUAGCCUAAAGAUAAAAAGGAGGCUGAGGUAAAAGAUCUUUUCUCAAACCUUCAUUGUUAGUAAAUGAACAGAGACUCUUGAAUACAAGAGCUUGUUCUUCAGUGUCUGAUAGGCCAAGUGUCUGAUUAUACCACUGGAGAAUCAAAUUAAAUAACCCUUUAUAUGGGAAGCGGGCAGAAGAGUGUCUCCUCCUCCUUGUGGUAUACUGCUAUUGAAUAUAAAUUUAAUUUGUUGAAUAUAAGAUUUAAUUUGUUCUCUUGUGUGUCAUUACUUGUAACUAGCAUUUUUAAUUUCUAUUCAUGACAGUGACUUCGCCUUUCUUGAACAGUUUCCAGAGCCUUUACCCAAACACAAGAUGCCUUCAGCCUCAGGCAGGCACCACACACAGUCCUUCUGUGAGUCCUCUUUACAGGGAGCGUCAGCUUCCCAAAGAGAAUGGCAGCUUCAGUGGUCACCCCAAUCACCCUCUUACUACUGAAAAAUGCUUACAAGACUCUCUUGGGACCAUCACUGCCCCCUGCCCCCAGGAAACACCUCCCACAGGACCCUUUAUCUGCACAUCACAGGAGGAUCCUCAGCCUUUACAACCUCCAAGGCACUGGCCUCGACACACAUUGGAUGCUGACCUACUCUUGCCUAUAAGGAGACCAGGCACUUUCUCUCUGUGUUCUUCUUAAGCCAGGGUUUCUCCCUGGACCUGACAUUUGAGUCAGUUCAGUCUUCAUCCUGAGGGGCUGUACUGUGUGGUAUAAGCUUUUUGGCAGCUUGUGCUCUCUCUUCACUAGAUGCCCACAGAAACCCCCGCUGUGAUGGCUGAAGGAUAUUGCUGAAUACUACCCGGCUUGCCUCUUGUGGGUCUUGCCUGUCUUACAUUAAUACCAUAAACAUUCAAGUGUGCUUGCUAAAUGCCAGGGCCUGUGCUAAAUACAUCUCAUGUUUGAAUUCACUAAAGAUUUAUAAGC